AGUUGCCAUGACUAUGGCUGCCAGGUACAAGAGACAAGUGAUUGGCUAUCAGCUCUACCUUGAGGCAGAUUCUUCCUCCCCUCCUCUUCCUUCUGCCACCAACUGCUAAAGUUCAGUGUGUGUGUGUGUGUGUGUGUGUGUGUGUGUGUGGCCAGAUGCAGUGAUGCUCAACUGAGAUGUCAGGCAGCAGGGACCCAGUGUACCAAGACCUUGGCGUAGGCUGACCUUCGGUAUAACGCCUUGGCUUUCUGGGUUUCAGGGACAGCUGAUGGUUGGAGAAACAGGCGGGGCACCAGAUGAAAUGACAGUGCCCAGGAACCCAAAGAGGAAGCAAGGAACUUGGACACUUCUCCCUGGGCAGAUGCCAGAUCUGUUGCCUCCAGGAUCUGCCCUUCCCCCUGCAAGCCUGACAGUCCCCGCCCCUUGCCUCUUAUAGCAGGACUUUGCAAACAGUCUUUCCGGAUGGACACUGGACACGGCUGCGCCUCCUCCCUGAACACUUUCCAUUCCCAGACUGAGCCUCAGCCACGGCUCCUCAGGAAAAUUGGCCGAAAGAGACAUUUUCCAUGCUCUUGACUCCUCUGGCCAUGCUGGCACGCUCCAACAUCUUCUCCCCCCUGGUAAACCACGCCCAGAAAGAGGAUGCUGUCCAUCAACCUGCUGUUACUCAUCCACCACUUAGUCUAAAGUCAUUUCAUCUCUCCGGGCCUCAGUGAUCUAAUCUAUGAAUAAACUAUUCAGGCUGC
ensembl:antisense 1700030C14Rik RIKEN cDNA 1700030C14 gene